CACCAUAGAGAUCUACCUCUAACCAUCCUUCUUUCUUUCCUGUAGAUGAGACUCGCUGUAUUGCUUAAAAUUCUGCCCACAGGGAGAUUUCUGUCUGUGUGAUGCUAUAGCAGUCUACACCUCCUUGGGGCAGCACUCUGUGUAGAUCCAUCCAUCAGGUAGGCCCCAGAUUUGUCUUCUACAAUCACCUGAUCAUAAAGGACACCCUGUGAAGCCAUAGGUGAGGCUGGAGGGAGAAGAGGGACUAUGGGAAUCUGAGCCUGAGCACCUGCUGAAGCAGCUUUCUCGUGCCUUCAGGACCUGACCAAGCCCAAUAGUAGUCAUCUGGGGCCAUCCAAUUUAAGCUCAGCAGGGCUCAGCAGUACUUCACUACAGCUCACUGCUGGGUACAAAUGUGCUCCAUUAAUUUUUCAUUUUUCUGGAACUACUGAAUUACCUUUGGGGGCUCUUCCCAUGAAAGCAGCACAGUCUAGUGGUUCUCAAAGUGUAGUCCUUGGACCAGCAACAGUAGCACCUGGGAACUGGUUAAAAGGUUGGGAAGCAAAGCGUCCAGAGGUUGUACCUGAAAACAUUCCUCGCCCCGACUCUGCAUCAGAGUCCUGAAAACCUGGGGUUCCCCUGGGAGGACUUUUGGCUAUGAUAUCUCACCUUUCACUGAUUGGGCUGAGCAGCCAAGAAUAACAGGCCAUAGAACAAGGGAAGCAGAUGCUGCAGUGAAGCAUCUACAAGCCAAGAAACACCAAGGACUACCAGUCCCCACCAGCAGCUGGAAGAGGCAAAAAAGGAUUCUCUCUACAGGUUUCAGAGGGAGCAUAGCCCUGCCAAUGCCUUCAUUUCAAAUUUCUGGCCUCCAGAGCUCAGGGAAACAGUGUCAUCUAGAAGAAAGGAUGCCACAUGGGGAGUCGAAGAUCUGGAUUUUAACCUUCUUACCAGCAGUGCAUCCCUGGGUCUCUGUCUCCUGGUCUAUGAAAUGGAGCCUAUACUUGUCACACUUCUUUCAGAGAUGGGGUUGGAAGGAUACUAUCCAUGUGUCACAAGGGGACAUUGUUUUCAUGGGAAGUACGUAAACCAAUAAAGGCUAAAAAUGAAUCAGUAAUUAUAUAGGGGAUUGCAAAAUGAUGCUUUGCUUUUCUUCUCUGUUUAUUAGCUCACAUUUAUUUUUCUGUAAGGAAGAGCUUUCUCUCAUCAAAUAGAGAUGAGCUAAAUAAAGUUCCUACACACACACACACACACACACACACAGAGAGAGAGAGAGAGAAGCAGGGUAAAUGUUUUCUUUGUCUUUUGUCAAUUUUUAG